GGCGCUUCAAUGAAUCCUGUGAGAACUCUAGGGCCAGCUGUAGCUGCGGGAAAUUACAAAGCAAUAUGGAUAUACUUGGUGGCACCUAUAUUAGGGGGUCUCGCUGGUGGCACUACCUACACAGCUGUGAAGCUCCGAGAGGAUGAAGCAGAUCCACCACGCCAAGUGAGAAGCUUCCGUCGUUAAGCUUCCUACCAAACGUAAAACAAUAAUGUGUGUGUGCUUUUAUUAAUAAUAAUCACAUGUCUCCAUAUCUAUCGA
rnacentral:lncRNA from 1 species